CUGACCAGCCAUGCCGCGUGGAGGAUUAAGGCCCUCUGGGUUGUAAACUCCUUUUAUCUGGGAAGAAAUCCAUAUAUUCUUAUGUGGUUGACGGUACCAGAGGAAUAAGCACCGGCUAACUCCGUGCCAGCAGCCGCGGUAAUACGGAGGGUGCAAGCGUUAUCCGGAUUCACUGGGUUUAAAGGGUGCGUAGGCGGGUAAGUAAGUCCGUGGUGAAAUCUCUGAGCUUAACUCAGAAACUGCCGUGGAUACUAUUUGCCUUGAAUAUUGUGGAGGUGAGCGGAAUAUGUCAUGUAGCGGUGAAAUGCUUAGAUAUGACAUAGAACACCAAUUGCGAAGGCAGCUCACUACACAAUUAUUGACGCUGAGGCACGAAAGCGUGGGGAUCAAACAGGAUUAGAUACCCUGGUAGUCCACGCCCUAAACGAUGAUUACUCGACAUCAGCGAUACACUGUUGGUGUCUGAGCGAAAGCAUUAAGUAAUCCACCUGGGAAGUACGAUCGCAAGAUUGAAACUCAAAGGAAUUGACGG
rnacentral:rRNA from 1 species